rnacentral:rRNA from 1 species
UCGGUCGGCCUGCACUUGAAGGAGGCGAAUAAGUUCCUCUGGCCACUCAAGUUGAAGGUGCCGCCAGGGGGGCUCAAGAGGAAGAGGAACCACUACGUUGAGGGUGGUGACACGGGCAACCACGAGAACAACAUCAACUAGCUCAACAAGAGGAUGAACUAG